UACAGAGGGUGCUAGCGUUGUUCGGAAUCAUUGGGCGUAAAGGGCGUGUAGGCGGUUUGUUAAGUCAUGUGUGAAAUCCCUCGGCUCAACCGGGGAACGACGCAUGAAACUGGCAAGCUAGAGUACCAAAGAGGGGGGUGGAAUUCCCGGUGUAGCGGUGAAAUGCGUAGAUAUUGUCAAGAACACCUAUUGCGAAGGCAGCUUACUAAACUGUAACUGACGCUGAGGCACGAAAGCGUGGGGAUCAAACAGG
rnacentral:rRNA from 1 species